UCUCUUUAUGUCUUCAGGUAACAUUUCAGUAUUGUUUAUGGGAUCAUUUGAAAACCUUAUCUUCUCUUACUUCGACCCAACGCCUCAAUCUCCAGUGUCUCUUAUCUCACCUCAUCAGGGAUCGGUCUCUAUCCCUCUCAGUUCUAAGAGUGGUUGAGUAUGCAGGUAUGAGUAAGGUUGAAGUAGAGUUUCACAAGUCUCUUCUAGUGAUGAUAUUCAGUGGCCUAUCUGAUCAGCAGCUCACGAAUUUUGUUUGUUCAAUGGGUGAAAAUAGGAAGGAUUUUGUGAAGAAUUUGUAUCAUUUCGUAAGGAAACAGUCGCAGGAAAAGAACACCAAAACAUCACAGAAUAUUUUUAAAAGAUUAGAGGAGUUGCUGAUAGAGACAAUAGAAUAUUAAUUGUAUUACCUUGUUACAUAAAUGUGGAUUUUUUGACAGGAUAAAAUUUCAACUAUUUCAUGCA